GAGUUUGAUCCUGGCUCAGGAUGAACGCUAGCGGCAGGCUUAAUACAUGCAAGUCGUGGGGCAGCGCGUUAUAGCAAUAUGAUGGCGGCGACCGGCAAACGGGUGCGUAACACGUACGCAACCUUCCUUCAGGCGGGGAAUAGCCCCGGGGAAACCCGGAUUAAUACCCCAUAAUAUUAUGAGAUGGCAUCAUCUUAUUAUUAAAGCUUCGGCACCUGAUGAUGGGCGUGCGGCUGAUUAGGUAGUUGGCGGGGUAAUGGCCCACCAAGCCUACGAUCAGUAGCUGAUGUGAGAGCAUGAUCAGCCACACGGGCACUGAGACACGGGCCCGACUCCUACGGGAGGCAGCAGUAAGGAAUAUUGGUCAAUGGACGAAAGUCUGAACCAGCCAUGCCGCGUGGAGGAUGAAGGUCCUCUGGAUUGUAAACUUCUUUUAUUUGGGACGAAAAAGGGGAAUUCUUUUCCCACUUUGACGGUACCAGAUGAAUAAGCACCGGCUAACUCCGUGCCAGCCGCC
rnacentral:rRNA from 1 species